ACCCUUAGGGCCACGUUGAUACGUCCCUUUCUGUGGGGGCCUUAUGCCUGCAGAACCCUUGGCCCGGGGCCCUGGCGUCUCCUGUCCGCUGAGCCAUGGCCACCCCUGAUGUGAGUGUCCACAUGGAGGAGGUG
rnacentral:lncRNA from 1 species